rnacentral:lncRNA from 1 species
GGGUUAAAGAUGAAGAGGAUGAUAGCUCUUGGAUUUGAAGGUUCGGCUAACAAGAUUGGUGUUGGGGUUGUUACGUUAGAUGGAAGUAUUCUAUCAAAUCCACGCCACACAUAUAUUACGCCACCUGGCCAGGGAUUUCUUCCACGAGAAACUGCUCAACACCAUCUAGAACACGUUCUUCCACUUGUCAAAUCUGCUUUGAAAACUGCUGGAAUAACCCCAGAUGAAAUUGAUUGCCUUUGUUACACCAGGGGUCCGGGCAUGGGAGCGCCACUGCAAGUUGCUGCUGUUGUUGUCCGGGUUCUAUCUCAGCUGUGGAAGAAGCCAAUUGUUGCUGUUAAUCACUGCGUGGCACAUAUUGAGAUGGGGAGGAUUGUGACUGGAGCGGAGGAUCCUGUUGUGUUGUAUGUCAGCGGUGGAAAU